CAGGCCUAACACAUGCAAGUCGAACGGCAGCACGGAGCUUGCUCUGGUGGCGAGUGGCGAACGGGUGAGUAAUAUAUCGGAACGUACCCUAGAGUGGGGGAUAACGUAGCGAAAGUUACGCUAAUACCGCAUACGAUCUAAGGAUGAAAGUGGGGGAUCGCAAGACCUCAUGCUCGUGGAGCGGCCGAUAUCUGAUUAGCUAGUUGGUAGGGUAAAAGCCUACCAAGGCAUCGAUCAGUAGCUGGUCUGAGAGGACGACCAGCCACACUGGAACUGAGACACGGUCCAGACUCCUACGGGAGGCAGCAGUGGGGAAUUUUGGACAAUGGGCGAAAGCCUGAUCCAGCAAUGCCGCGUGAGUGAAGAAGGCCUUCGGGUUGUAAAGCUCUUUUGUCAGGGAAGAAACGGUGAGAGCUAAUAUCUCUUGCUAAUGACGGUACCUGAAGAAUAAGCACCGGCUAACUACGUGCCAGCAGCCGCGGUAAUACGUAGGGUGCAAGCGUUAAUCGGAAUUACUGGGCGUAAAGCGUGCGCAGGCGGUUUUGUAAGUCUGAUGUGAAAUCCCCGGGCUCAACCUGGGAAUUGCAUUGGAGACUGCAAGGCUAGAAUCUGGCAGAGGGGGGUAGAAUUCCACGUGUAGCAGUGAAAUGCGUAGAUAUGUGGAGGAACACCGAUGGCGAAGGCAGCCCCCUGGGUCAAGAUUGACGCUCAUGCACGAAAGCGUGGGGAGCAAACAGGAUUAGAUACCCUGGUAGUCCACGCCCUAAACGAUGUCUACUAGUUGUCGGGUCUUAAUUGACUUGGUAACGCAGCUAACGCGUGAAGUAGACCGCCUGGGGAGUACGGUCGCAAGAUUAAAACUCAAAGGAAUUGGCGGGGACCCGCACAAGCGGUGGAUGAUGUGGAUUAAUUCGAUGCAACGCGAAAAACCUUACCUACCCUUGACAUGGCUGGAAUCCUUGAGAGAUCAGGGAGUGCUCGAAAGAGAACCAGUACACAGGUGCUGCAUGGCUGUCGUCAGCUCGUGUCGUGAGAUGUUGGGUUAAGUCCCGCAACGAGCGCAACCCUUGUCAUUAGUUGCUACGAAAGGGCACUCUAAUGAGACUGCCGGUGACAAACCGGAGGAAGGUGGGGAUGACGUCAAGUCCUCAUGGCCCUUAUGGGUAGGGCUUCACACGUCAUACAAUGGUACAUACAGAGCGCCGCCAACCCGCGAGGGGGAGCUAAUCGCAGAAAGUGUAUCGUAGUCCGGGUUGUAGUCUGCAACUCGACUGCAUGAAGUUGGAAUCGCUAGUAAUCGCGGAUCAGCAUGUCGCGGUGAAUACGUUCCCGGGUCUUGUACACACCGCCCGU
rnacentral:rRNA from 1 species